rnacentral:rRNA from 1 species
GCGCGUGAGCAACCUGCCCUUCAGUGGGGAAUAACGUCUGGAAACGGACGCUAAUACCGCAUAACACAACGGAGCCGCAUGACUUUGUUGUCAAAGGAUUUAUUCGCUGAAGGAUGGGCUCGCGUCCGAUUAGCUAGAUGGUGGGGUAAAGGCUCACCAUGGCGACGAUCGGUAGCCGAACUGAGAGGUUGAUCGGCCGCAUUGGGACUGAGACACGGCCCAGACUCCUACGGGAGGCAGCAUG